GACAGAGGUGCCGAGCGUUAGGCGGAAUCACUGGGCUUAAAGCGUGUGUAGGCGGAGUUCUAAGUACCUUGUGAAAUCCCACGGCUUAACCGUGGAACUGCUUGGUAUACUGGUUCUCUUGGGCCAUCUAGGGGCUAGCGGAACAAACGGUGGAGCGGUGAAAUGCGUAGAUAUCGUUUGGAACGCCAAUGGUGAAAACAGCUAGCUGGGGAUGUGCCGACGGCUGAGACACGAAAGCCAGGGAGCG
rnacentral:rRNA from 1 species